rnacentral:lncRNA from 1 species
AAUAAAAAAGAAAUAAAAAAUUUUAAUACAGUCGGGUCGAACUGACCCGAACCGUGCAAAAAAACCCGACCUGCGCAACAGCCAACACCCAGUAGCUUAGCAGGCCACAGCAGCAGCCCAGCGUAAGCCCAAUAAAGACAGCAGCCCAGCAGAAGGAAGAAAAAAAAGCAGAAAAAAACAAAUAGCAGGCCUGUAGCAGGCCCACUUUGCGCAGCCCAGUAGUGUAGACCCAACGGAGGCAGCCCACCGCCAGCAAUAGGCC